GCCAACAUGGCGUAAUGGUUUGAGUGUUGGACUAGGACUCUGGAGACCAGGGUUCAAAUCUCAGCUCGGCC